GGAAUGUAGUUCAGUGGUAAAUCAUUUGCCUAGCAUGUAUAAGGUCCUGGGUUCAAUCACAGGACCA
rnacentral:tRNA from 1 species